rnacentral:rRNA from 1 species
GACGAACGCUGGCGGCGUGCUUAACACAUGCAAGUCGAACGGAAAGGCCCUGCUUUUGUGGGGUGCUCGAGUGGCGAACGGGUGUGAAACACGAGUGAACCCCCCCCGUGUCUGGGAUAAAUCCACAGGAAACUGGGGCUAAUACCGGAUAGGCUCUCCUGCCGUGUGGUGGGGGGUAGAGAGUCGCGGCGGUUGGGGAUGGACUCGCGGCUUAUCAGCUUGUUGGUGGGGUAGUGGCUUACCAAGGCUUUGACGGGUAGCCGGCCUGAGAGGGUGACCGGCCACAUUGGGACUGAGAUACGGCCCAGACUCCUACGGGAGGCAGCAGUGGGGAAUAUUGCACAAUGGGCGGAAGCCUGAUGCAGCAACGCCGCGUGCGGGAUGACGGCCUUCGGGUUGUAAACCGCUUUCGCCUGUGACGAAGCGUGAGUGACGGUAAUGGGUAAAGAAGCACCGGCUAACUACGUG